rnacentral:misc_RNA from 1 species
GAAAUGCGAUACGUAGUGUGAAUUGCAGAAUUCCGUGAAUCAUCAAGUCUUUGAACGCAUAUUGCACUCAAGGCUUCGGCUUAGAGUAUGUCUGGCUCAGCGUCGAUGUAUCCCUCAUCCCCCCUCCCCAGGGUGGGCAUGGACCUGGCCGUCCCGGCAUUUCCCUCGUAUGGGGGUCAAGCCGGGUUGGCUGAAGCAUAGAGGCUAAUCAAGGACCGUCAUGGGCCGCAUCUAGGUAGGCAGCAUCACUGCUACAUAUUUAGGUGUUGGCUUGGUUUUUGUUAUACUGCCCUCAAACCAGGAACCUACAACUUACAUUUUCGACCUGAGCUCAGGCAAGAACACCCGCUGAACUUAA